UACAGAGGGGGCUAGCGUUGUUCGGAAUCACUGGGCGUAAAGGGUGCGUAGGCUGUCCGUUAAGUCUGAUGUGAAAACCCUGGGCUCAACUCAGGAAUUGCAUUGGAAACUGGCGGACUCAGAGUACCGGAGAGGGAAGCGGAAUUCCUGGUGUAGCGGUGGAAUGCGCAGAUAUCAGGAGGAACACCGAUGGCGAAGGCAGCUCGCUGGGACGGUACUGACGCUGAGGCGCGAAAGCGUGGGGAGCGAACAGG
rnacentral:rRNA from 1 species